GGGGUGUGGGGGAAUCACGUGUUUUUUGGCACCGUCGACACUCUCUAUAAUGCUGCGCUCGUAAUGGAUUUCCCGCUGGUGGCUGCUGCUGACCGGGGAGCCGCAGCUGCAGCAGCGGAGCGCAGCGCAUGAAAUCAGCGCCUACCACUUGAUGCCGCUGACCUUGGCCGGUUGGUUGGCUGUUGGCGGAGAUCACGCCUCUUUCACAUCAACAUUUUUUUUCCCUUCUUCUUUCUCCAACCAUGGCAUCAUCCUCAUCAUCAACAGCAUCACCAUCCGACGGGCUGGAUGAUGAAUGCGUGGUGCAGCGCGGAAGAUCUCAGAGUGACCCUAGCAGCGUCACCGAGGUCCGCUCGGGAGAAGCCCACGGUCCAGAUGUAAUGGACCAGCAGAGGGCGCUGCACUCCGGUGGCCUGGUCUCAGGAAUCCGCACGCCUCCCGUCAGACGCAACAGCAAGCUGGCGAGCCUGGGACGCAUCUUCAAGCCAUGGAAGUGGAGGAAAAAGAAAAGUGAGAAGCCGAGGCCCCCUGGAGUGGCUGAGAAGAAGGCAGCUGUACGGCAGAAGAGAGAUGAGCUCGUCAAGCGAAGCCCUGGGGAGAUGGAAACAGAGUCAGAUCUCGCUUGUGGGGGGAAUGGCGAGGAUCCUGACACCCCAGCCCAGUCAGACGGCGAGGACAGAGACGAGGAACUCAUGGCCCCCCUGGCCAGUGCCAGUGAGGACCUGGGAAGUGAUUCAGAAGCCCCAGCAGUUCAAGAUGUGGAAGAAGAUCCGAAGGUGGCUGGAGAAAGCAGUCAGGGCGAGGACGAAGACGCAGAAGACGGGAACGUGUCACUAAGCAACUCCAGCGAGGAGCAGACGAUGGAAACAGCAGAGGCUGCUGAGGCGAAACAGGAAAUGGUGGCAGCCAAGCCCCAGAGACGAGCCAGCACCCCUCCUCCGCCAAGUCUUCCUGUCAAGCUGCUCACCAGGCUGGGCAGCUUAGAUGGCGCUCCUCCAGUUCCAGUGAAAAAGUCUCCCGCCACAUUACCAAGGAACUUCACACUCCCCAAAGAACCUCACGGAUCCCUGCUGAGAGGCAGGAUCUCUACACCCACUGGCUCUCCGCACCUUGGGGCCCUUCACCAGCCACUGCCCCCCAGCUGCAUCAUUGAGGAACUGCAUCGUGCCCUGGCCACCAAACACAGACAGGAGAGUUUCCAGACGAAGGAAGCCCGCUGUUCCCCGAAGCGCAGAGCAGAUGGCCGGCUGUCUCGGACGUCCAGCAUGGAGAGGGAGUCGCUUGGGGAGAUGGACGGCAAGAAGAGAUCAGACGAGAACAAGGAGAACUGUCGCCUGGAUCAGUACACCAACGACCAGGACAGUUGGAAUGAGUCGGUAAUCUCUGGAACACUCCCCCGCAGGAUGAGGAAAGAGCUCCUGGCCGUGAAGCUUCGGAACAGGCCCAGCAAACAGGAGCUGGAGGACCGCAACAUCUUCCCGGUUCGCAGCGACCAAGAGCGACAGGAAAUCCGCCAGCAGAUAGAGAUGAAGCUGGCCAAGUGAGUCGCUGUGUGUGGACCCAGCUCAGCAUACCGUCAGACCCCCCACCCCUCUCAUCACCUCAUUACUGGCCUUUGUGCUGCACGAUAAUUCCUGGAGUGAGGAAGGGGAUUUUCUGAAAUGCUGAGGUGGACUGAACAGAGCAGUGUGAUCGGAUUUGUCAAUAUGUGCUCUUAUUACAAGGACUCUGAUUAGGCUGUUUUUCUGCAAAGACUGACUCUGCUACCACAAGUUUAGUUACCACAUCAGCAUUUAUACCUGAAAUCUGUAACAAUUACAUCAUAAUUUUCAGAGUUGCAUAAUAGAUGUGUGCUGAACAGAAAAUUAGGAGGUAUAUCAACUUUUUGGCCUCACACAUUUAACUUUGCUUUUGUAAACAACUUGCAUGUUCUGCAGUUCACAAGCAGUUCCAGAGUUUCUUAACAAACUGCUCACUGAAAACAUGCUCUAAAUGGAGACUGGUCUUUUUACAGAAACAGACUAACUCCAUUUCUAGGUGAAAAUACAGAAAUUAUCAUUGUUGUGUGUGUGUGUGUGUGUGUGUGUGUGUGUGUGUGUGUGUGUGUGCGUGCUACACUUGAUGGACAGGAACUACUCCUGCAUGUCUUUAAUGCAGUUUGAUUUGUGAUUUUAGUGCAGAAAAGCAAAUAGCAGGAAUAAAAAUAUUGCAGACUUGAAGGAGUUGCACUACUUACAGAUUUCCCUCCUGAGUGUUGUGUAAGUUAAAUAAUUUGGUGACCUCUUGUUUGUGUAGCAUUUAGCUGAACAAGAGCUAAAAAUCCCCCUAAACUAAAACAGAAUAUUUCAUUCAAUAAUUUGUUUUAAAGGUUUUGAUUACAGAUAGGGAUGUUUCAGUGACACUGCUGAUUGAAUGUUAUCUGAAUCACUAACUCACGCACCAGUUACAAAGGUUAAAGAAACAGCAUUUAUUUCCUUUUAUCUCCGAAGUUAGAAGGUAUCCAUAAAGAAAUCGAUGUCAGAUCAUCGUCAGUCCUUAAAACACCAUAUUAGGUCAACUGUAACUCCAGAUUUUUCCCUGUAAAGAACACAGCAUAAAAAUCUAUCUGUGAUGACCAUAUAAAAGAUUAAAGUCUGUGGAAGGAACCAGCAACAAGACUUUUAGAACCUCAAAUGCUUCAGCCGCAGCUGUCACAUAUUGUUGGAAAGGAGAAGUGUGUGACUAAAUGUUUUGUUAGUGUUAGACAAAUAUUUUGACUAAAUAUUAU